GGGGGCGUUUGGUUUUGACAGCAUAGAUCUUUGAGAGUAUAAGCAUGUACUGCGUUGCGUAAUUAGCAGUUUAAUCUGAAUACGAAAAACUCAAAUGGCAAUACUCAGUAUGCCAUGGCUGCCUAAUCAGUGAUUAAGUAGUCAUUAGGGCCGCCGGGCAGGUUGGCUUGUUACCACGCCCCGCCGCCGACUUAAAAACAAAACAAGUUGCUGCAACUGCAGGCUGUGCCAGUUGCCUAAGACUAUUCAGCUAAGGAAUUAAUCGGUUGUCUUUUUCCAGUUAAUUCCCGACAAAACAAAAUUGAAUAAACAUGUAGAAGGCUUUCGGCGAAUAUGUUUGGACACCGGUUCGACUCCGGUCGCCUCCACAA
rnacentral:tmRNA from 1 species